rnacentral:tRNA from 1 species
GGGAGUUUAGCUCAGCUGGUUCAGAGCACCUGCCUUACAAGCAGGGGGUCACUGGUUCGAAUCCAGUAAUUCCCACAA